rnacentral:rRNA from 1 species
AGAGUUUGAUCCUGGCUCAGGACGAACGCUGGCGGCGUGCCUAACACAUGCAAGUGGAGCGACGAACCAGGCUUCGGCCUGGGGCAAAGCCGCGAACGGGUGAGUAACACGUGGGUAACCUGCCCCGAAGACCGGGACAACCCGAGGAAACUCGGGCUAAUACCGGAUGUGGUCACCGUCCGUAAGGACGAUGAGCAAAGGAAGCUUCGGCCUCCGCUUCGGGAGGGGCCCGCGGCCCAUUAGCUUGUUGGUGAGGUAAUGGCUCACCAAGGCUGCGAUGGGUAGCUGGUCUGAGAGGACGAUCAGCCACACUGGGACUGAGACACGGCCCAGACUCCUACGGGAGGCAGCAGUGGGGAAUCUUGCGCAAUGCGCGAAAGCGUGACGCAGCAACGCCGCGUGGGGGAAGACGGCCUUCGGGUUGUAAACCCCUUUCAGGAGGGACGAAGCCCGAGCGGUUAAUAGCCGACUUGGGUGACGGUACCUCCAUAAGAAGCCCCGGCUAACUACGUGCCAGCAGCGGCGGUAAUAC